rnacentral:rRNA from 1 species
AUUGAACGCUGGCGGCAGGCCUAACACAUGCAAGUCGAACGAGUGGCGGACGGGUGAGUAAUGUCUGGGAAACUGCCUGAUGGAGGGGGAUAACUACUGGAAACGGUAGCUAAUACCGCAUACCAUCGGAUGUUCCCAAAUGGGAUUAGCUAGUAGGUGGGGUAACGGCUAACCAAGGCGACGAUCCCUAGCUGGUCUGAGAGGAUGACCAGCCACACUGGAACUGAGACACGGGCCAGAAUCCUACGGUAGGAAGCAGUGGGGAAUAUUGCACAAUGGGCGCAAGCCUGAUGCAGCCAUGCCGCGUGUAUGAAGAAGGCCUUCGGGUUGUAAAGUACUUUCAGCGGGGAGGCGUUACCCGCAGAAGAAGCACCGGCUAACUCCGUGCCAGCAGCCGCGGUAAUUC